rnacentral:rRNA from 1 species
UGGGGAAACCCAGUGUGACUCGUCACACUAUCAUUAACUGAAUCCAUAGGUUAAUGAGGCGAACCGGGGGAACUGAAACAUCUAAGUACCCCGAGGAAAAGAAAUCAACCGAGAUUCCCCCAGUAGCGGCGAGCGAACGGGGAGGAGCCCAGAGCCUGAAUCAGCAUGUGUGUUAGUGGAAGCGUCUGGAAAGGCGCGCGAUACAGGGUGACAGCCCCGUACACAAAAGCGCAUGUGCUGUGAGCUCGAUGAGUAGGGCGGGACACGUGGUAUCCUGUCUGAAUAUGGGGGGACCAUCCUCCAAGGCUAAAUACUCCUGACUGACCGAUAGUGAACCAGUACCGUGAGGGAAAGGCGAAAAGAACCCCGGCGAGGGGAGUGAAAAAGAACCUGAAACCGUGUACGUACAAGCAGUGGGAGCCCCACCACCAAAGCAUUUGCUGUACCGCGUUGACGGAGCGAAGCGACGUCAAACCGAUAAAACAGCAGUGUAAAGUGAGCCGCAGGGCGCUUUGCGCGACAGCGCAAAGGCAGGCGGUUUCGCGUAGCGAAAGCGAAUGCUUUGGGGUGGGGUGACUGCGUACCUUUUGUAUAAUGGGUCAGCGACUUAUAUUCUGUAGCAAGGUUAACCGAAUAGGGGAGCCGGAGGGAAACCGAGUCUUAAUUGGGCGUUAAGUUGCAGGGUAUAGACCCGAAACCCGGUGAUCUAGCCAUGGGCAGGUUGAAGGUUGGGUAACACUAACUGGAGGACCGAACCGACUAAUGUUGAAAAAUUAGCGGAUGACCUGUGGCUGGGGGUGAAAGGCCAAUCAAACCGGGAGAUAGCUGGUUCUCCCCGAAAGCUAUUUAGGUAGCGCCUCGUGAAUUCAUCUCCGGGGGUAGAGCACUGUUUCGGCUAGGGGGCCAUCCCGGCUUACCAACCCGAUGCAAACUGCGAAUACCGGAGAAUGUUAUCACGGGAGACACACGGCGGGUGCUAACGUCCGUCGUGAAGAGGGAAACAACCCAGACCGCCAGCUAAGGUCCCAAAGUCAUGGUUAAGUGGGAAACGAUGUGGGAAGGCCCAGACAGCCAGGAUGUUGGCUUAGAAGCAGCCAUCAUUUAAAGAAAGCGUAAUAGCUCACUGGUCGAGUCGGCCUGCGCGGAAGAUGUAACGGGGCUAAACCAUGCACCGAAGCUGCGGCAGCGACACUGUGUGUUGUUGGGUAGGGGAGCGUUCUGUAAGCCUGUGAAGGUGUGUCGUGAGGCAUGCUGGAGGUAUCAGAAGUGCGAAUGCUGACAUAAGUAACGAUAAAGCGGGUGAAAAGCCCGCUCGCCGGAAGACCAAGGGUUCCUGUCCAACGUUAAUCGGGGCAGGGUGAGUCGACCCCUAAGGCGAGGCCGAAAGGCGUAGUCGAUGGGAAACGGGUUAAUAUUCCCGUACUUGGUGUUACUGCGAAGGGGGGACGGAGAAGGCUAUGUUGGCCGGGCGACGGUUGUCCCGGUUUAAGCGUGUAGGUGUGUGUUC